AAGUGGAUUAAAAAAAUUGAACAAUAUUAGUAAGCUUUAAAAAAACCUGCAUUGAAAUCUCAAGGGGAUAGAGACUAGAUAGACAUAUACAGAUGAAGGGCAAUAAAAAAAAGUCUAAAAUAGAGGCAAAGUUGUUGAAUUCGGAUAGUUUUUUGAGACUUAACUUUCUUUUUCAGGCAUCGUAUUUUGCAGAAGUGCUGGGCAAUUCAAGCUUAGGAAGAUUCUAUGCCAAUACGAUGCGCGUCAUUUUGGAAAGAACGGUUAUACGUGCCGAUCCUCAAGUCAAAGAGCAGAUAUGCAGAUUCUGUAACACAUGUCUAAUUCCCGGGAAAAAUUCACGCAUCAGAAUACAUAGCAGUAGAUAUCAAAAUUUAUCCAUAACAUGUCUAUUUUGCUCAACAGUAAAAAAAAAAAAUUUGAUGUUAUAUAGUCAUAAACGAAUUAGAAAAUCCAGCACCGUUGUCAAGCCUUACCGCCUGAUUAUUGGAGAAAUGGGGGAAGGUAAAACACUGGUUGUAAGAGAAUAGAAUCAAGUUCAAAAAAAAGUAGUUUAGUACAACAAAGGACAGGCUAUUAAAGCAGAGGUGUUCAGAAAGCGAGGGUUAAAGCUAUUGAGAAUCGAAGCUAGAGAUAUACGAAGAAAGU